AGAGUUUGAUCCUGGCUCAGAGCGAACGCUGGCGGCAGGCUUAACACAUGCAAGUCGAACGGAUCCUUCGGGAUUAGUGGCGGACGGGUGAGUAACACGUGGGAACGUGCCCUUAGGUUCGGAACAACACAGGGAAACUUGUGCUAAUACCGGAUGUGCCUCGUAAGAGGGAAAGAUUUAUCGCCUUUGGAGCGGCCCGCGUCUGAUUAGCUUGUUGGUGAGGUAAAGGCUCACCAAGGCUACGAUCAGUAGCUGGUCUGAGAGGAUGGCCAGCCACAUUGGGACUGAGACACGGCCCAAACUCCUACGGGAGGCAGCAGUGGGGAAUCUUGCGCAAUGGGCGAAAGCCUGACGCAGCCAUGCCGCGUGGAUGAUGAAGGUCUUAGGAUUGUAAAAUCCUUUCAGCGGGGACGAUAAUGACGGUACCCGCAGAAGAAGCCCCGGCUAACUUCGUGCCAGCAGCCGCGGUAAUACGAAGGGGGCUAGCGUUGCUCGGAUUUACUGGGCGUAAAGGGCGCGUAGGCGGAUAGUUAAGUUGGGGGUGAAAGCCCGGGGCUCAACCUCGGAAUUGCCUUCAAUACUGGCUAUCUUGAGUGUGAGAGAGGUGUGUGGAACUCCGAGUGUAGAGGUGAAAUUCGUAGAUAUUCGGAAGAACACCAGUGGCGAAGGCGACACACUGGCUCACUACUGACGCUGAGGCGCGAAAGCGUGGGGAGCAAACAGGAUUAGAUACCCUGGUAGUCC
rnacentral:rRNA from 1 species